rnacentral:rRNA from 1 species
GACGUAGGAGGCGAGCGUUGUCCGGAUUCAUUGGGCGUAAAGAGCACGCAGGCGGUUUGGCAAGUCGGAUGUGAAAACCCGGAGCUCAACUCCGGGCGUGCAUCCGAUACUGCCCGACUAGAGGUAGGUAGGGGAGAUCGGAAUUCCUGGUGUAGCGGUGAAAUGCGCAGAUAUCAGGAGGAACACCGGUGGCGAAGGCGGGUCUCUGGGCCGAUACUGACGCUGAGGAGCGAAAGCAUGGGGAGCGAACAGG